rnacentral:rRNA from 1 species
CCAACAGGGAUUGCCUUAGUAACGGCGAGUGAAGCGGCAAAAGCUCAAAUUUGAAAUCUGGCACUUUUGGUGUCCGAGUUGUACUUUGGAGAGGCAUCUUCUGGAGGGGCCCAGCCUAUGUGCCUUGGAACAGGACGUCAUAGAGGGUGAGAAUCCCGUCCUUGGCUGGAUGUUCCCUCCUGUAAGUAGUGUCUUCUACGAGUCGAGUUGUUUGGGAAUGCAGCUCAAAAUGGGUGGUAAAUUUCAUCUAAAGCUAAAUAUUGGCGAGAGACCGAUAGCGCACAAGUAGAGUGAUCGAAAGAUGAAAAGCACUUUGAAAAUAGAGUCAAAAAGUACGUGAAAUUGUUGAAAGGGAAGCGCUUGAGACCAGACUCAGCCUUUGGCAAACAACUAUCCUUCUGGAUGGUGCACUUGUCAUUGGUUGGGCCAGCAUCGGUUGGGACGGCAGGAUAAAGGCCCAGGGAAUGUGACUCCUUUAUGGAGUGUUAUAGCCCCAGGCGGCAU